rnacentral:rRNA from 1 species
CAGUCGCCGCGGUAAAACGUAGGUGGCAAGCGUUGUCCGGAAUUAUUGGGCGUAAAGGGCUCGCAGGCGGUUUCUUAAGUCUGAUGUGAAAGCCCCCGGCUCAACCGGGGAGGGUCAUUGGAAACUGGGAAACUUGAGUGCAGAAGAGGAGAGUGGAAUUCCGCGUGUAGCGGUGAAAUGCGUAGAGAUGUGGAGGAACACCAGUGGCGAAGGCGACUCUCUGGUCUGUAACUGACGCUGAGGAGCGAAAGCGUGGGGAGCGAACAGGAUUAGAUACCCCAGUAGUCCCUGUCUCUUAUAC